rnacentral:rRNA from 1 species
AUAUCAAUAAGCGGAGGAAAAGAAACCAACAGGGAUUGCCUCAGUAGCGGCGAGUGAAGCGGCAAAAGCUCAAAUUUGAAAUCUGGCGUCUUUGGCGUCCGAGUUGUAAUUUGAAGAAGGUAUCUUUGGGCCCGGCUCUUGUCUAUGUUCCUUGGAACAGGACGUCACAGAGGGUGAGAAUCCCGUGCGAUGAGAUGACCCGGGUCUGUGUAAAGUUCCUUUGACGAGUCGAGUUGUUUGGGAAUGCAGCUCUAAGUGGGUGGUAAAUUCCAUCUAAAGCUAAAUAUUGGCGAGAGACCGAUAGCGAACAAGUACAGUGAUGGAAAGAUGAAAAGAACUUUGAAAAGAGAGUGAAAAAGUACGUGAAAUUGUUGAAAGGGAAGGGCUUGAGAUCAGACUUGGUAUUUUGCAUGCUGCUCUCUCGGGGGCGGCCGCUGCGGUUUACCGGGCCAGCAUCGGUUUGGAGCGGCAGGAUAAUGGCGGAGGAAUGUGGCACGGCUUCUGCUGUGUGUUAUAGCCUCUGACGAUACUGCCAGCCUAGACCGAGGACUGCGGUUUUUUUACCUAGGAUGUUGGCAUAAUGAUCUUAAGUCGC